rnacentral:rRNA from 1 species
AGCGAACGUUAGCGGCAGGCUUAACACAUGCAAGUCGAGCGAGAAAGGGGCUUCGGCCCUGAGUAAAGCGGCGGACGGGUGCGUAACACGUGGAUAAUCUGCCCUUCAGUGGGGAAUAACGUUCCGAAAGGAACGCUAAUGCCGCAUGUCACAGCAAUGUCUCUGGACAAAGUUGGAAAAGGGGACGCCCGCAAGGGGUUCUCGCUGGAGGAUGAGUCCGCGGCCCAUCAGCUUGUUGGCGGGGUAAUGGCCCACCAAGGCGAAGACGGGUAGCUGGUCUGAGAGGAUGACCAGCCACACUGGGACUGAGACACGGCCCAGACUCCUACGGGAGGCAGCAGUGGGGAAUAUUGGACAAUGGGCGAAAGCCUGAUCCAGCCAUGCCGCGUGAGUGAUGAAGG